rnacentral:rRNA from 1 species
CCUACGGGAGGCAGCAGUAGGGAAUCUUCCGCAAUGGACGCAAGUCUGACGGAGCAACGCCGCGUGAGUGAAGAAGGUUUUCGGAUUGUAAAACUCUGUUGUUAGAGAAGAACAAGUGCUAGAGUAACUGUUAGCGCCUUGACGGUAUCUAACCAGAAAGCCACGGCUAACUACGUGCCAGCAGCCGCGGUAAUACGUAGGUGGCAAGCGUUGUCCGGAUUUAUUGGGCGUAAAGCGAGCGCAGGCGGUUCCUUAAGUCUGAUGUGAAAGCCCCCGGCUCAACCGGGGAGGGUCAUUGGAAACUGGGGAACUUGAGUGCAGAAGAGGAGAGUGGAAUUCCAUGUGUAGCGGUGAAAUGCGUAGAUAUAUGGAGGAACACCAGUGGCGAAGGCGACUCUCUGGUCUGUAACUGACGCUGAGGCUCGAAAGCGUGGGUAGCAAACAGGAUUAGAUACCCCGGUAGUC